rnacentral:rRNA from 1 species
GACGAACGCUGGCGGCGUGCUUAACACAUGCAAGUCGAACGGAAAGGCCCCUUUGGGGGUACUCGAGUGGCGAACGGAUGAGUAACACGUGAGUAACCUGCCCUUGACUUCGGGAUAACUUCAGGAAACUGGGGCUAAUACCGGAUAGGAAUCCUUGCUGCAUGGUGGGGGUUGGAAAGCUUCGGCGGUUUUGGAUGGACUCGCGGCUUAUCAGCUUGUUGGUGGGGUAGUUGCUUACCAAGGCUUUGACGGGUAGCCGGCCUGAGAGGGCGACCGGCCACAUUGGGACUGAGAUACGGCCCAGACUCCUACGGGAGGCAGCAGUGGGGAAUAUUGCACAAUGGGCGGAAGCCUGAUGCAGCAACGCCGCGUGCGGGAUGACGGCCUUCGGGUUGUAAACCGCUUUCAGCAGGGGCGAAGCUUGUGGUGACGGUACCUGCAGAAGAAGCACCGGCUAACUACGUG